UACAGAGGUCUCAAGCGUUGUUCGGAUUCAUUGGGCGUAAAGGGUGCGUAGGCGGCGAGGUAAGUCGGAUGUGAAAUCCCGGGGCUCAACCCCGGAACUGCAUUCGAUACUGCUUUGCUUGAGUACUGGAGAGGAGACUGGAAUUUACGGUGUAGCAGUGAAAUGCGUAGAUAUCGUAAGGAAGACCAGUGGGCGAAGGCGAGUCUCUGGACAGUUACUGACGCUGAGGCACGAAGGCCAGGGGAGCAAACGGG
rnacentral:rRNA from 1 species